rnacentral:rRNA from 1 species
UCCUACGGGAGGUAGCAGUGGGGAAUAUUGCGCAAUGGACGGAAGUCUGACGCAGCGACGCCGCGUGAGCGAAGAAGGCCUUCGGGUCGUAAAGCUCUGUUCUUGGGGACGAAUAAGAUGACGGUACCCAAGGAGAAAGCCCCGGCUAACUACGUGCCAGCAGCCGCGGUAACACGUAGGGGGCGAGCGUUGUCCGGAAUUACUGGGCGUAAAGGGCGUGUAGGCGGCCGAGCAAGUCAAGUGUGAAAAGCCCCGGCUUAACCGAGGCAUUGCACAUGAAACUGUUUGGCUUGAGUGCAGGAGAGGGAGGUGGAAUUCCUAGUGUAGCGGUGAAAUGCGUAGAUAUUAGGAGGAACACCAGUGGCGAAGGCGACUUCCUGGACUGUAACUGACGCUGAGGCGCGAAAGCGUGGGUAGCAAACAGGAUUAGAUACCCCGGUAGUCCACGCCGUAAACGAUGGGUACUAGGUGUGGGUAGUUCACUCUAUCCGUGCCGCAGCAAACGCAAUAAGUACCCCGCCUGGGGAGUACGGCCGCAAGGUUGAAACUCAAAGGAAUUGACGGGGGCCCGCACAAGCAGCGGAGCAUGUGGUUUAAUUCGAUGCACCGCGACGAACCUUACCAUGGCUUGACAUCUACAGUAGGCCGUAGAGAUACGGCUGUGCCCGUUUGGGGAACUGUGAGACAGGUGGUGCAUGGUUGUCGUCAGCUCGUGUCGUGAGUUGUUGGGUUAAGUCCCGCAAUGUGCGCAACCCCUAUCGUUAGUUGCUAACGGGUAAAGGUGAGCACUCUAGGGAGACUGCCGGGGACAACUCGGAGGAAGGUGGUGAUGAUGUCAAAUCAUCAUGCCCCUUAUGUCCUGGGCUACACACGUGUUACAAUGGCCGGAACAGAGGGCAGCGAAGGAGUUAUCCGGAGCCAAUUCCAAAAUCCCGGUCCCAGUUGGGAUUGUGGGGUGCAACCCGCCCACAUGAAGUAGGAGUUGAUAGUAAUCGCGGAUCAGCCAUGCUGCGGUGAAUGCGUUCCCGGGCCUUGUACACCCCGCCAGUCACACCCUGGGAGUUGGGGGCGCCUUGAAGUCAGAUAGUAACGGCUGCCGAAGGUGAAACCAAUGACUGGGGUGAAGUCGUAACAAGGUAGCCA